GUUAUCGUGAUGGGGAUUGAGCAUUGUAAUUAUUGCUCAUGAAAUAGGAAUUCCUUGUAAUAGCAACUCACUAGGUUGCAAUGAAUAAGUCUCUGCCCCUUGUACACACCGCCCGUCGCUACUACCGAGUGAAUGGUGUCAUGAUGUCUUGGGACUGGACGUUGUUGGCGAUGCAAAUCGCGGACGAUGCUAGGAGCAAGCCAAAAUGGCGCAAUUUCGAGGAAGUAAAAGUCGUAACAAGGUUUCCGUAGGUGAACCUGCGGAAGGAUC
rnacentral:rRNA from 1 species